AUAAAACAAUCAGAUUCUGUGGAGGCUUUCAAAUCCAGAUUAAAGACUCAUCUGCUAUCCCGUUCAUAUGGCUAACAUAUGUGUAUAGUGUCAAAUCAUUUUCCUCU